UACGGAGGGUGCAAGCGUUAUCCGGAUUUACUGGGUUUAAAGGGUGCGUAGGUGGGCCUGUAAGUCAGUGGUGAAAUCGUUCAAGCUUAACUUGGAAACUGCCAUUGAUACUAUAGGUCUUGAAUUAUCUGGAGGUAAGCGGAAUAUGUCAUGUAGCGGUGAAAUGCUUAGAGAUGACAUAGAACACCCAUUGCGAAGGCAGCUUACUACGGAUUGAUUGACACUGAGGCACGAAAGCGUGGGGAUCAAACAGG
rnacentral:rRNA from 1 species